rnacentral:rRNA from 1 species
GACGAACGCUGGCGGCGUGCUUAACACAUGCAAGUCGAACGGAAAGGCCCCGCAUGUGUGGGGUGCUCGAGUGGCGAACGGGUGAGUAACACGUGAGUAACCUGCCCUUGACUUUGGGAUAACUUAAGGAAACUGGGGCUAAUACCGGAUAGGAGCUCCUGCUGCAUGGUGGGGGUUGGAAAGUUUCGGCGGUUGGGGAGGGACUCGCGGCUUAUCAGCUUGUUGGUGGGGUAGUGGCUUACCAAGGCUUUGACGGGUAGCCGGCCUGAGGGGGUGCCCGGCACAAUUGGGACUGAGAUAGGGCCCGGACUCCUACGGGAGGAAGCAGUGGGGAAAUUUGAACAAUGGGCGGAAGCCGGAGGCAGCAACGCCGCGUGCGGGAUAACGGCCUUCGGGUGGUAAACCGCUUCCGCCUGUGACGAAGCAUGAGUGACGGUAAUGGGUAAAGAAGCACCGGCUAACUCCGUG